rnacentral:rRNA from 1 species
UACAGAGGGGGCGAGCGUUAAUCGCAAUUACUGGGCGUAAAGCGUGCGUAGACGGUUUCGUAAGUCGGGUGUGAAAUCCCCGGGCUCAACCUGGGAAUUGCAUUCGAAACUGCGAGGCUAGGGUACGGAAGAGGGAAGCGGAAUUUCUGGUGUAGCGGUGAAAUGCGUAGAUAUCAGAAGGAACAGCAGUGGCGAAAGCGGCUUCCUGGUCCAGUACCGACGUUCAGGCACGAAAGCGUGGGGAGCAAACAGG